rnacentral:rRNA from 1 species
GACGAACGCUGGCGGCGUGCUUAACACAUGCAAGUCGAACGGAAAGGCCCUGCUUUUGUGGGGUGCUCGAGUGACGAACGGGUGAGUAACACGUGAGUAACCUGCCCUUGACUUUGGGAUAACUUCAGGAAACUGGGGCUAAUACCGGAUAGGAGCUCCUGCUGCAUGGUGGGGGUUGGAAAGUUUCGGCGGUUGGGGAUGGACUCGCGGCUUAUCAGCUUGUUGGUGGGGUAGUGGCUUACCAAGGCUUUGACGGGUAGCCGGCCUGAGAGGGUGACCGGCCACAAUGGGACUGAGAUACGGCCCAGACUCCUACGGGAGGCAGCAGUGGGGAAUAUUGCACAAUGGGCGGAAGCCUGAUGCAGCAACGCCGCGUGCGGGAUGACGGCCUUCGGGUUGUAAACCGCUUUCGCCUGUGACGAAGCGUGAGUGACGGUAAUGGGUAAAGAAGCACCGGCUAACUACGUG